rnacentral:misc_RNA from 1 species
UGCCCUCACACACAUCCAUCUCACCCCUAUGUGCACCACCGCGUGGGUCCCCCUUUGGCUUGUUCGGAGGGGGGCUUACGUUUUCACACAAACUUUGUAUGCAGUGUAGAAUGUAUUUUUUGUUUUUGCGAUCACGCAAUCAAUACAACUUUCAACAACGGAUCUCUUGGCUCUCGCAUCGAUGAAGAACGCAGCGAAAUGCGAUACGUAAUGUGAAUUGCAGAAUUCAGUGAAUCAUCGAAUCUUUGAACGCACCUUGCGCCCCUUGGCAUUCCGAGGGGCACACCCGUUUGAGUGUCGUGAAAUUCUCAAAAACCUUUUUCUUUUUGGGAAAGGGUUUUUGGACUUGGAGGCUUUUUGCUGGCUUCACCUUGAAGUGAGCUCCUCCUAAAUGAAUCAGUGGGGUCCGCUUUGCCGAUCCUUGACGUGAUAAGAUGUUUCUGCGUCUUUGGGUUUGGCACUGUCACCUGCUUCUAACUGUCUCAUUGACAAUGAUGGUGCUCCGGUCACCACCGCUCUUAUCGGUGGGAGGCUUGACCCACAAAAACAAAACCUUGACCUCAAAUCGGGUGAGACUACCCGCUGAACUUAAGCAUA